rnacentral:rRNA from 1 species
UACGUAGGUGGCAAGCGUUGUCCGGAUUUACUGGGCCUAAAGCGCACGUAGGUGGUCCGCUAAGUCGCGUGUGAAAUCCCCCGGCUCAACCGGGGAAAUGCGCGUGAUACUGGCGGGCUUGAGAUCGGGAGGGGUGAAUGGAACUCCAGGUGGAGCGGUGAAAUGCGUAGAUAUCUGGAGGAACACCGGCGGCGAAAGCGGUUCACUGGCCCGACACUGACACUGAGGUGCGAAAGCUAGGGUAGCAAACGGG